rnacentral:snRNA from 1 species
GAUUUCCUGGUGUGAAGACGCCA